AACAGCUGCACUUCCAUCUUCUACAGUAGUCUGAUAUUUCAGAUCUCAGAAGCUAAGUGAGCUGGGCCAGGUCAGUAGUGGGAUGGAACACCACUAGGGAAAAUCAGGUUGCUGCUGUAA
rnacentral:rRNA from 1 species